UUGGCUGGGGGAACAUGAUUCCGUGGCCUGUGAGUGUGAUUUGUGCAAUAGGGGAGGCCUGAGUCACUAAAUGUAACGCCUCCGUUUCAUAAAAGUAGCCUAUUACAAAUAGGCCUUAAAUACAAUGUAGGCCUACUCGUAAGUCGUAUGAAAAAUGUAGGCCUCGGACUACUUCUCAAUCUGUAACGUUGUACGAUAUUGUAUCGCCACUUUUUACAGGGGUCUAGCGUCAUGACGUAAAUACUAAAUGGCCUAGCCUACCGCAACCUAUGAAUAUAAGUAAAUUAAGACCUAUGCUUAGUGACUUGCCUUCUUCCGCUUGAAAUCUCAGUGAUUUUCUUCCUCACAUUCACUGUCAACAUUCUCCGUUCCAGGAUCGAGGUCGAGCAGGAAUCCCAUCUCCUGUUCAUUUGCAUCUUCAGUUGUACCGGUAGGAAUAUGGUCUUCUAUUGAGAAGCAGUUGACUGGCCCACAGUCAAUUAGACCAACAUCAUCAUUAUCAUCAUCAUCAUCUUCCUCCUGAACGUUGAUUGGGGCCUGCAAAUGGAAAGUGUGACUGACAUCAACCAAUCUGGACCGUGGACUGGAGAAGAAUUUGAGUGGUGCUAGAAAGUUGCAAAUUCCUGCCCCAAGGAUGAUUUGAAUUUGGGAAUCAGCCACUCCAAGUUUUUGAAGCUUUUCUACUGCAUCCUCUGCUUUCGAUUGCAGUGCUUGGAUGGUCCCUCCCGGCUUGACAAUCCAUUGUUCAUUUGCAUAUAUUGGCCGUUGAUGCCGCAACUUCAAUCCCCGGGAGUCCAUCACAAAAAUCAGAUUCAUUUUCUGCAAAAGAAUGUAAUCUAGUUAAUUUUAAAGGAAUUAAUCACAAGGAAUUGGGUUUCUUGCUGAAGUACGCUCCCUUGCUAACUUGAAUCAGAAGGUUGAUGAGAGACAGGGCCAUGUACCGCACCGAAUGAUUGAAGUGCAACGUCAAUGACUGAGGAACAGGAAGUCGGUUAGAGACGAUCAUGUCCCCCACCAAACUAUUGACAUACAAAAAUGAUUGAGAAGAAGAGUUUUGAUUUGGAAUGGAAGAAACAAUGAAGUAGUGGUCUCAGUUCUGACAAUAUGACAGAGCCGGUCUUCAUUUACCAUCACGAGGGUGAAAGGCAAAGUCCGGAUCACCUCCAGAAUCUCCUGCUGUCUUGGCCCGCGACAGAGCAACGAACAGAGCGCCAGGAUUUCUAGACUCGAAAGCUCUUGUC